UAUGUGAUCGUCUCUCGCAUAUCAAUAAGCGGAGGAAAAGAAACUAACAAGGAUUCCCCUAGUAACGGCGAGUGAAGCGGGAAGAGCUCAAAUUUGAAAUCUUAAAGGGUUUCCCUUUACGAAUUGUAGUUUAAAGAAGUGUUUUCUGUUGAGGUUUUGGUAAAAGUUCUUUGGAAUAGGACAUCAUAGAGGGUGAGAAUCCCGUAUUUGACCUUUACUUUCAACUUUGUGAUACGCUUUCAAAGAGUCGGAUUGUUUGGGAAUGCAGUCCAAAAUGGGUGGUAAAUUUCAUCUAAAGCUAAAUAUUGGCGAGAGACCGAUAGCGAACAAGUACCGUGAGGGAAAGAUGAAAAGAACUUUGAAAAGAGAGUUAAACGGUACGUGAAAUUGUCAAAAGGGAAGCGUUUGACACCAGUGUUGUUUUUCUGAAAAUCAAUUAAAGAACUGUUUAUGCUAAGUUGUUUAGACUUUAUCAGCUAACUGUUUAGUUUUGAGCUUUUCUUUAAUGCACUUUUCAGUUAACAAGUCAACAUCAAUUUCUUUUGCUGUAAAAAAGCUUGAGGAAGGUGGCUUGAGAUUCGUCUUAAGUGUUUAUAGCCUCUUGCCUAUGCAGUCGGAGAGAUUGAGGUCUGCAGCGUAGAUCCUUCGGGGCUAAAUGCAUUUGUGCUAAGUUAUAACAUUUUAUAGACAACUUGUUGACUAUGAUUUGUCUUGUAGCUUACUCGCUUAUGUUAUUUUACCUACGCUUAGGAUGUUGAGUAGCGACAUACGCAC
rnacentral:rRNA from 1 species